GGGGCAGCAGCCCAAUGGUACAGCUCCCACUCGUAUGCGGGAAGACCUGGGUUCGAUUCCCGGCUGCUUCU
rnacentral:tRNA from 1 species